GGCUUUGUGGUCGAGUGGUAAAGACAUUUGCCUCUCACCCUAGAAUCCCGGGUUUAAUCCUCGGUCGAGGAGCUA